rnacentral:rRNA from 1 species
AUUGAACGCUGGCGGCAUGCCUAACACAUGCAAGUCGAACGGCAGCGCGGGGGCAACCCUGGCGGCGAGUGGCGGACGGGUGAGGAAUGCAUAGGAAUCUGCCCGGUUGUGGGGGAUAACGUAGGGAAACUUACGCUAAUACCGCAUACGACCUUCGGGUGAAAGUGGGGGACCUUCGGGCCUCACGCGAUCGGAUGAGCCUAUGCCCGAUUAGCUAGUUGGCGGGGUAAGAGCCCACCAAGGCGACGAUCGGUAGCUGGUCUGAGAGGAUGAUCAGCCACACUGGGACUGAGACACGGCCCAGACUCCUACGGGAGGCAGCAGUGGGGAAUAUUGGACAAUGGGCGCAAGCCUGAUCCAGCAAUGCCGCGUGUGUGAAGAAGGCCUUCGGGUUGUAAAGCACUUUUGUUCGGGAAGAAAUCCGUGAGGUUAAUACCCGUACGGGAUGACGGUACCGAAAGAAUAAGCACCGGCUAACUUCGUG